rnacentral:rRNA from 1 species
AACGUAGGAGGCGAGCGUUAUCCGGAUUUACUGGGUGUAAAGCGCGUGCAGGCGGUUUAGCAAGUCGUGCGUGAAAGCGCUCUGGCUCAACCGGGCGAGGACGUGCGGAACUGCUGAACUAGAGGCAGGUAGAGGCGUGUGGAAUUCCGGGUGUAGUGGUGAAAUGCGUAGAGAUCCGGAGGAACACCAGUGGCGAAGGCGACGCGCUGGGCCUGACCUGACGCUAAGACGCGAAAGCAUGGGGAGCGAACGGGAUUAGAAACCCCGGUAGUCCAUGCUGUAAACGAUGCGGACUAGGUGUGGCGGUGAGGAGCCGCUGUGCCGCAGCCAACGUGAUAAGUCCGCCACCUGGGGAGUACGGCCGCAAGGUUAAAACUCAAAGGAAUUGACGGGGGCCCGCACAAGCAGCGGAGCGUGUGGUUUAAUUCGAGGCUACACGAAGAACCUUACCUGGGCUUGACAUGGCGGUAGUAGCGACCUGAAAGGGGAGCGACCUUCGGGAGCCGUCACAGGUGCUGCAUGGCU